rnacentral:rRNA from 1 species
GAUGAACGCUGGCGGCGUGCCUAAUACAUGCAAGUCGAGCGAAUGGAUUGAGAGCUUGCUCUUAUGAAGUUAGCGGCGGACGGGUGAGUAACACGUGGGUAACCUGCCCAUAAGACUGGGAUAACUCCGGGAAACCGGGGCUAAUACCGGAUAACAUUUUGCAUCGCAUGGCUCGAAAUUGAAAGGCGGCUUCGGCUGCCACUUACGGAUGGACCCGGGUCGCAUUAGCUAGUUGGUGAGGUAACGGCUCACCAAGGCAACGAUGCGGAGCCGACCUGGGAGGGUGAUCGGCCACACUGGGACUGAGACACGGCCCAGACUCCUACGGGAGGCAGCAGUAGGGAAUCUUCCGCAAUGGACGAAAGUCUGACGGAGCAACGCCGCGUGAGUGAUGAAGGCUUUCGGGUCGUAAAACUCUGUUGUUAGGGAAGAACAAGUGCUAGUUGAAUAAGCUGGCACCUUGACGGUACCUAACCAGAAAGCCACGGCUAACUACGUGCCAGCCGCCGCGGUAA